UACGUAGGUGACAAGCGUUAUCCGGAUUUAUUGGCGUAAAGCGCACGCAGGCGGUCUAUCAAGUCUGACGUGAAAUCUCUCGGCUUAACCGGGAGCGGUCGUUGGAAACUGUUGGACUUGAGGCGAUGAGAUGGGUGUGGAAUUCCCGGUGUAGUGGUGGAAUGCGUAGAUAUCGAGAGGAACAUCAGUGGCGAAAGCGGCACCCUGGCAUUAGCCUGACGCUCAUGUGCGAAAGCGUGGGGAGCGAACGGG
rnacentral:rRNA from 1 species